GCCUGGAUAGCUCAGUUGGUUAGAGCGUGGUGCUGAUAAUGCCAAGGUUGCAGGUUUGAUCCCUGGGACAGCUGCA